UGGUAACAAGAUGGCUCUAUGAGCUGGCCAUACUCAGUAGUCAGAGUGAAACCGGCCAUGUAAAAACGACAAAGCAUAGGAUUCAGUGUAGGAGCUUGGGCCCCGUGGUAUCAGUUGACUUACAGACUGAGUUCAACCACAUGGGCAACAUAUUAAUCAAUCAUACCUAUGCAAUAAAGUCUUCAUAAAAACUAUGGACAACAAAGUUCUGCAGACUUUGCAAAAAAGAAAGAAGAAAGUAAAUAAAUGAAAAUAGAAAGGAAGCUAGAGAAAGAGAGAAAGAAAGAAAGAAAGAGAGAGAAAGAGAGAAUGAAUGAGAGAAAGAAAGAAAGAGGAAGAGAAAGAGAGAGGAAGAAAGAAUAAAUGAGAGAGAAAAAAAGAAGAAAGAAAGAAAAAAGAAAGGAAGAGAGGAAGAAAAGAGAGAGAAAGAAUUUUUUUUCAUUUUACUUUCCCUGAAUCCUUCCCCAGAGUGUUCAGAAAUAUCAAAUAUGAGCUGAAUAAGUAGUGGAAAGACAAGGAUUCAUCCGUUCCACAGACUACAAACCUGGCCGAUAGAGGGAAUAUUUCAUUUUAGAUCAAAUGAUUCACUGUCAUCUUUGUCUGAUAUUACAACAUAGUGACCACACAACUAUCCUCAAUGGUAUUUGACUACAUGGAUUCUGUAAAAAGAUGAAGCUUAAGAACACUAUUUUUUUUCAAGUGCAAUAUACUGUAGUCAUAAGAUGAAUGGGGUCUUGUCCAUAUAUCUACAUGAAAUUUAGAUAAAGCAAGCAAUGUGAAGAACACAUAAUCUCACAUUUUGCAUGUCAC
rnacentral:lncRNA from 1 species